AGAGUUUGAUCCUGGCUCAGGGUGAACGCUGGCGGCGCGCUUAAUGCAUGCAAGUCGAGCGUGAUCGUGGCUUCGGCCACAAUGAUAAAGCGGCAGACGGCUGAGUAACGCGUGAGUAAUCUGUCCUCCGGUGGGGUAUAACCUCGGGAAACUGAGGAUAAUCCCGCAUACGACCUGCAUCCCUUGGGGUGCAGAUGAAAGGCUUCGGUCGCCGGAGGAGGAGCUCGCGUCCUAUCAGGUUGUUGGUGGGGUAAUGGCCUACCAAGCCGAUGACGGGUAGCUGGUCUGAGAGGAUGACCAGCCAGAGGGGGACUGAGAACGGCCCCCACUCCUACGGGAGGCAGCAGCAGGGAAUCUUGGGCAAUGGGCGAAAGCCUGACCCAGCGACGUCGCGUGGGGGACGAAGGCCUUCGGGUUGUAAACCCCUUUUCCGGGGGAAGAGAAAGGACGGUACCUCGGGAAUAAGCCCCGGCUAACUACGUGCCAGCAGCCGCGGUAAUACGUAGGGGGCAAGCGUUACCCGGAAUCACUGGGCGUAAAGUGCGCGUAGGCGGUUGGAUAAGUCUCUUGUGAAAGCUCCCGGCUCAACUGGGAGAGGUCAAGGGAUACUAUUUGACUAGAGGACAGCAGAGGUAAGCAGAAUUCCCGGUGUAGCGGUGGAAUGCGUAGAUAUCGGGAGGAACACCAGUGGCGAAAGCGGCUUACUGGGCUGUAUCUGACGCUGAGGCGCGAGAGCGUGGGGAGCAAACUGGAUUAGAUACCCAGGUAGUCCACGCCCUAAACGAUGGAUACUAGGUAUGGGGGGUAUUGACCCCCUCCGUGCCGUAGCUAACGCGUUAAGUAUCCCGCCUGGGGACUACGGCCGCAAGGCUAAAACUCAAAGGAAUUGACGGGGGCCCGCACAAGCGGUGGAGCGUGUGGUUUAAUUCGAUGCUAAGCGAAGAACCUUACCUGGGCUUGACAUGUUGGUAGUAGGAACCCGAAAGGGUAACGACCUCGGGGUAACUCGGGGAGCCUUCACAGGUGCUGCAUGGCUGUCGUCAGCUCGUG
rnacentral:rRNA from 1 species